rnacentral:lncRNA from 1 species
UUAAAUUUGUCUGUCAUGUUAGAUCAAAGCAGACUUUGGAGUUUUCCCUUCUCUUUCUGUGUCCUCAGGUCAUGGAGUUAAUGGGAAAUAAAACUACUGAAUAUUGCAGAAGUGCAGGAUGUUUUACAUUCAAGCAAAGACCCGCUUGACCUUUGAGUGAUACAAUCAGAUGUACGUGAUGAGAGAAAAGCAACCCAAACCGAAGGCCUGGAAGUUUUUAAACAUGACCACACACAGUGCCACUAGAAAGAUAAAAUGACAA